ACAGUAUCAGUUGUAAGUGGUCCUUUGGGCGGUCACGUCGUCAUCCCGAUUAAGCAACAUGUGGAGACAGCUGUGCGUAGCGGCGCUUCUGACCACUCUUCUCUGCGCAGCUGAGCACAGGCGAGAGGAUCGUCACCCGCGUUCUGCAGAUACAUUCUGGAUCAGCGGUCGGUAUGGCCGCUCACCGCGCGCACUGACAGAGUUCACUGCGAGGAAUAACAGGUUCUUCUUAACUAAUCGCUAUGGGAAGAGAGCCGGGGCAUUCGGUGCUCGGUCGGCCAACCAGUUGACCGAUCGGUGGAAGAAGCGACUUUUAUGUGACUGCAUGCCCAGCGAACAUUACAAGCGAACCGUGUACAGAGCAUCAGUAUAAACCAUGAUUUAAGUUUGUAUCUUCCAGUUACGAGACGACAAUACUUGAUAAUAGUUUUAUAGAUUGUGAGAAAAUUGGGCUGAAAUGUUUGCGCAAAUUUAUAAGAAAAUCAUGUGUUUUAUCAGUUUGUAUGAGGGAUUCGGGCUGGAAUUUACAUACAAAUUGAAAACACAUAUUUUUGUCGUCGUGUGUUAAUUAAUAAAAUAUGUUUCCCACGACCAUAAUACAACACAAAUCGUGUGUUUAUUAUGUGUAUGUGUGAUAUGUAUAAUAACCCCAAAUGGCAAUCAGCAUGUAGUAAAGUAAGAAAUGUAUAUUAAAAUAUUAUGUAUUAUCUAAGAGACUAUAAUAAAGAUACUAAAUUGCA